GUCCUAGUAGUAUAAACAUCAAAUACACUGGCCUUGUAAACCAGAAAUGGGGCUCAUCCCCCCAAGGACA
rnacentral:tRNA from 1 species